rnacentral:rRNA from 1 species
UACGUAGGGCGCAAGCGUUGUCCGGAAUUAUUGGGCGUAAAGAGCGUGUAGGCGGCCAGACAGGUCUGCUGUGAAAACUCGAGGCUCAACCUCGAGACGCCGGUGGAAACCGUCUGGCUAGAGUCCGGAAGAGGAGAGUGGAAUUCCUGGUGUAGCGGUGAAAUGCGCAGAUAUCAGGAAGAACACCCGUGGCUAAGGCGGCUCUCUAGUACGGUACUGACGCUGAGGAGCGAAAGCAUGGGGAGCGAACAGG